UCAUGUUUCCUGAUCUCCUUUGCAGCGAGGGCUGACCCAGGAGAUAUAAGUGGAAGUUGUUGGCCAUGGCGGUGGAGUUCAUCUGCUUCCAUAAAGACAAACCUGCCGCUCUUUCCUCCUUGCUUCAUUCUCCUUCUUGCCUGGGAUGCAAACAUGAUGGCUGGAGCUCUAGCAACCACCUUGGCGUAUGAAGUGAUCUCGGGAACGGGUCCACGUACUGAAGACGGUGGAACGAAAGGAUGGAGAUGUCACGCUGACUCUGGACCAUCUAUUUUUGGAUUUAUUCUAAGGGAUAGACACUUAACCUCUCUGUUGGUUUAAGUCAGUGGUUCUCAAAGUCUAGCUUCCACUAGAAUUACCUGGAAGGCUGGUUACACACAAAGAUAGCUAGGCUGCAGUGCCUGGAGGUUCUGAUUUGAUAGGUCUGGGAUGGGGCCUCACAGUUUUGUUUCUAACGUGUUCCCAGGUGAUGCUAUGGUGCUGGCCUGGGUACAAGGUGCACCUUGAGAACCACCGGUUCAAGCCAUCAUCAGUGAAGUUCUUUAUCUUCCGAAGCAGAACCCAAUCCUAACUUACCUAGCAAGGAACCACGUGUGAAGUCGAGCGCUCUGCAAGUAUUAUCUCAUUGAAUCCUCGUGACCCAUUUCACAGAUGAGGAAACUCAAGCGAACAAAGGAUUGGGGUUUCUAAGCAAGACAUCACCUGAUACACACCUGCUAGAAUCAUGGCGAGAAGUUACAACACCGAUUGCUGGUGAAGAUUCAGGGCACCUGGAAUUCUCCCUCCUUGCUGGCAGGAAGGCAGAAAUGCUACAGACACUUUGGGAAACCUUGGCAGUUUCUCAGAAAGUUAAAUAUGGAUUU